ensembl:lncRNA
GGGCAUUUCAUUAUUGGCUUUGUCCAGAGAGGCUGUGGAUGCCCCGUCCAUCCCUGGAGGUGUUCAAGGCCAGGUUGGAUGGGGCCCUGGGCAGCCUGGGCUGGUAUUACAUGUGGAGGUUGGUGGCCCUACCUGUGGCGGGGGGGUUGGAGCUUCGUGAUCCUUGAGAUCCCUUCCAACCCGGGCCAUUCUGUGAUUCUAUGAUUCUAUGAUCACUGGUAUCUUGUUUUUCAAGCAUCUGGCCCUUUAUGUACCACAGUAUUUUUACUUCCAUCAACACCAGGACAGAAACAUAAGGAAAGCAGCAGUAGGGUGAAAUAUAUUUAUUAGCAAGUUUCAUGAUACGGAUUGAGGGAAUCACACCAAGCAAUAUUAGCUGAGCAUUUGGGGCUCGAAUCUUUAUUCCUUCAUGCUGUAUAUAAAUAUGCAUACGCGAGGA